rnacentral:rRNA from 1 species
ACGACGCUGGCGGCGUGCUUAACACAUGCAAGUCGAACGGGGCAAAGUGAUAGCUUGCUAUUAUGGAGCCUAGUGGCAAACGGGUGAGUAACGCGUAGGCAACCUGCCCUUCAGAUGGGGACAACACCUCGAAAGGGGUGCUAAUACCGAAUGACGUUUCCUGGUCGCAUGACCUGGAAACCAAAGGCCGGGCAACCGGUCACUGAAGGAUGGGCCUGCGUCUGAUUAGCUAGUUGGUGGGGUAACGGCCCACCAAGGCGACGAUCAGUAGCCGGUCUGAGAGGAUGAAAGGCCACAUUGGGACUGAGACACGGCCCAAACUCCUACGGGAGGCAGCAGUGGGGAAUCUUCCGCAAUGGGCGCAAGCCUGACGGAGCAACGCCGCGUGAGUGAAGAAGGUUUUCGGAUCGUAAAGCUCUGUUGAGAGGGACGAGAGAUAUAAUCAGGAAAUGGGUUAUAGAGGACGGUACCUUUCGAGGAAGCCACGGCUAACUACGUG